CCCGCUGAGCUGCUGGCCCCGUAUACCGGCGAUAUUGUCGCCGAGGGCGUCAGCAAAGUAUUCCGCACCGGCGCUCGCUUCCUGCUGCACGGCGCGCAGCGCCAGCAGCGGUAUGUUGCUGAGGCGCUCACCGAAGAGUGGCGUCUGGCGCCGGGCCCGCUGGAAAUGGCCUGGUUUGGGGAAGAGACCGCCGCCGUGGAACGCGCCGUGGCUGCGCUUGAAAAACGGCUGGAAAUGCUGGAGGGCAAAUGA
rnacentral:sRNA from 1 species